CACUUCAUCACACCCUUAAAGAUCUUAUCUCUUUUGAUCUUAGCCAUUCAAACCAAAAUCAAAGAUAAGAUGGACGUUGGAUGGAAGAAAGAAAGGAGGAAAGAUCUCACGUGCAAAACCAGCAUGCAUCCUCUUUCUCUAAUUUUUUUAUCACAUAAAAAAUACUUCUAUACUCUAAUCUGAGAGAUUUCUAUCUUAUUCUGAAUUAAA
rnacentral:lncRNA from 1 species